rnacentral:rRNA from 1 species
GUGCCAGCCGCCGCGGUAAUACGAAGGGUGCAAGCGUUACUCGGAAUUACUGGGCGUAAAGCGUGCGUAGGUGGUGGUUUAAGUCUGUUGUGAAAGCCCUGGGCUCAACCUGGGAAUUGCAGUGGAUACUGGGUCACUAGAGUGUGGUAGAGGGUAGCGGAAUUCCCGGUGUAGCAGUGAAAUGCGUAGAGAUCGGGAGGAACAUCCGUGGCGAAGGCGGCUACCUGGACCAACACUGACACUGAGGCACGAAAGCGUGGGGAGCAAACAGGAUUAGAUACCCUGGUAGUCCACGCCCUAAACGAUGCGAACUGGAUGUUGGGUGCAAUUUGGCACGCAGUAUCGAAGCUAACGCGUUAAGUUCGCCGCCUGGGGAGUACGGUCGCAAAACUGAAACUUAAAGGAAUUGGCGGGA